rnacentral:rRNA from 1 species
UACGAAGGGUGCAAGCGUUACUCGGAAUUACUGGGCGUAAAGCGUGCGUAGGCGGUUUGUUAAGUCCGUUGUGAAAGCCCUGGGCUCAACCUGGGAAUUGCAGUGGAUACUGGCGAGCUAGAGUGCGGUAGAGGAUGGUGGAAUUCCCGGUGUAGCGGUGAAAUGCGUAGAGAUCGGGAGGAACACCCGUGGCGAAGGCGGCGAUCUGGGAAGAUACUGACGCUGAGGUGCGAAAGCGUGGGGAGCAAACAGG